CUCAUUUUUUAAAGCCUCAAAUUUUGGGGGAUUCAUUUGUAGUACAGAUGCACCAUCCAAUUAAAGGCAGUAAUGACUUACAAUACUUUUUUGUAUCAGAACACUGGGCAGUGAUCUGGCUUUUUUUUGCUUUUGUUUCAUUUUUUCACUAAUGCCAGUGGAAGCAGCUAACUAAGUCACUGGGAGGUGAGCCUUCUGCAAUUCAGGUUAAUCAUGGAUAUUUAGGGGGUAUUAUUUUGCCAUGUUAUAUUAAGACUAGAGCCAUCAUGUGAAACAACAGAUGUUUUUAUUAACUCAAACAAUGAGCUUAUAUAUUUUGGAUACUUUUUCCAAAAAACAGAGGCAUGUAAUUAUUUCAACACAGCCUUUAUAUGUGCUCUGAGGUUCUUGGACAAUUUCAGUAUAAAUAUGGUUUUCAUGAAAGGGAAUCAAUACUGAACCAGGUUGAUUUUAAGAACUUAACAUUUGGGGUUAUAGAGCUAAUUUGAGAUUGACCUUCUUUAUACUUAGUCAUUGAUUGGGGGAGGGAAAAAUAAUUUCCUUACUUCCUUUCCUAUCUGUAAUUUAUUUUUCAUGUUAUAGAAGGGUUCUGGGGUAUGAAUCAGAAAUCUUAGUGUCUAGUGUCAUCCCUGUCACCAUAGCUGGCUGGGUGACCUUGGACAAGUCACUUUACCUUUCUGGACUUCAGUAAUAAAAUGAGAGGAUUACACUGGAAUAAGCACCACAGACCUUUCCUAAUGCAAAAGAUGAAGUAAACACAAAUGUGUACAGGCCCUAGGCCUACACCCCUAGAAAUGUGUGUGUGCGCCUACAAACGUGAGCGUGUACAGGCAAAAAAAAAAAGCAGAAUUAUAAGUUUUCAUACAAGCACAUUCAGGAAUAAACAGAACACAUACACAAACUCACACAAAACAAACAGCUUUGGCUUCAUAUGUAUACACAUACUCUAAAAUAACUUCCAUCUUCUUGAGACAGGAUGAAUCAUUACCAUUCAUAGGCUAUGAAGCCUGUAUAAGAAGGUAGUGUGUGUCAUUAGAUUACCCCAAAUCCCAUUGCUUAGCUCAGAAGAUUCUAGCUAUGUUUGAUCACUUACACUCUCAGCAUCACAAUUCUAAGCUCACUGGGGCAUGGAGCCAAAAGCACAGGGCUCCUCCCCUUGGAUGGGGUCUUUGGGUCUUGGGAUCCUGGUUCAGGCCUCUGUCUCAGCAAUGAGCCAGAUUGGCCUUGGGCUGUGGUUUCUGUCCACUCAUGACUCUGAAAAUGGCUGUGCAGCAGCCCAGAGAGUUUCUCUGCAGCCUACAUUCUACAGGGCUGAAACUCAUUGUCACAUUUCUCUCUAGGGAUGGGGCUGAGGGGAAGGUAGAAGGUAUCCAAACUAAGAGAGACAGAAUGUAUGAAUGAAUGAAUGAAUGAAUGACCCAGUUGGUAGAAUUCAGUUAGCUGAGCUCCCAAAUUGUCCUGCAGUUCUCUGGCCCAUGAAACAAUCCUGAAUGUCUUCAUCCAAUUUCAUGUAAGUGUCUUUUAUACUGAAAAGACGCUGUGUAUGUGUGUGGGUCCCCAGGGUCCCUUUUCCACUUGUUCAAGCCCUUCUCCCUCUGCAAGGCCUGGUCAGGCACCCUCAGUAUCCCUUCCAGCUUGCUCUGGCCUCCAUGCAGCCCAUGGCUCUCAUCCUUUUGUCUUGAGCAGCUGUUUACACACAUCUGACUCCUCGCCUCUAGACACUAGGUCCCUAGCCCCUCAAUUUUACCCAAAGGCCCUGGUCUGGUGCCUUCUUGCACUAGGGAAACCUUCUAUCAAUGUUGAUUCAUUGGCCAGUCGAGCUGUCUCUCACAGGCAGCAGGCACCUGGUUACUGCCUCGGUCAGCAUGCAGUCCAGAGGCAUGGUCUUCCACAGGGCCAAAGCCUUGAGCUUAGAAGUUCUCAUAUGACCAGGGGGCAGGACACUGGGGCCUAUAGGAGUACUGACCCCCAAGGCUGAAGAAGUCUUGGCAAACACAUGCCAGGCCCGCAUCACCCUUGUCCUCAUGAUCAUUGGCACACAUUGCUUUGGGGAUUACAGAUGUUUCACAUUUGCUUUCAUUUCUGAUCUUGGCCAAAUAGGGGCAGAAUUAGACAGACCUGUUUCACUCAUUGUGCAAAUGAAGAAACUGACACUCAGAGGGACUGUGGCAGGUUUUCUAUGGAGCUAAUGCGCCUCGAGCACUGGGGCUCCUUCCGGUCCAGGUGUAUGUUCACAGGGUCAGAUGCUAUUGAAAAACUUGGAGCACAGCAUCGUUUAACUGCAGGCAUCCUGGCUGCUCCUCUUUUCUGCUCUGACUUCCCAGGGUGUCUAGUGGAUGCUGGGGGAUCUGACUCAGGCUGGGUGCCAGUGGGGUACAUUUAUGCAACUCACAGACAGAGCACACACCCAUUCCAGGGCAGAGAACACCUUUCAGGGAUGCUCCUGCCAUCCCGGGCCACCGUACUUGGCCUAUGUGUCUGGAAGCUGCAGGGCCAGAAGCUGUACAACAGCAUCUCUGGGCCCUGAGGUGCCUGGACCAGGGUGUAUGUAUAGGGAAAGAAAGAAGAGUUGAAAUCAGGGAGUCAGAAACUUAUCUGUAUAAAAUUGUGAGCAGAAGUAACAUUUAAACAAAAAGCAUUGUAGAGGUAUUGGGCAGUGUACAUAUUGCUAUUGUCUGGAUUUUGGAAUGUCUUUGGUACUUGUUAGUUUUUUCACAAAUUGUAACAUUGAAAUUUUAAUAAUUUUAAAUUAAUAAUCAUAUCUGCACCUAAUUUUGUAUCCAUAACUUUGUGUUACCACCACUACCACCAUAUGGCAAGUGUUCUAAGCUGCCAGCCCUACAAAACCUGAGUCCAUCCCAAGAACAUUCCUGGGAUGAAGUGCUGGCUGCGACCAGGUUUUCUGGGUCCUGGCUAGGGCUCCUCCCCUGCCUGCCCCAGAGGUUUUCAGCCCGUAUAUAAAUCAUGUAUUUGUACAGCACUAUGUACACAGGAGGUACUUAAAAGUGCCAUGUGCCCUUGAAGAGAUUUUUCUCCACAAUGAAAAGAAAGUCAAAGCCUUGAUAGUGACCUUGACUGGGAUGAUAAAAGUCCCUUUCUUAGAAAAAUUGGCCCAUUACACCCUGGUCUUGACCUGUCAGUCGAUCCACUCAUGGGUCUCAGGAUGGGAUGGAGCCCUAAUCCCCUCCACAGUCACUCUGUGAGACAAAAUCCUGCCUGUCACUGGGAUAGGCCGCCAGCAUGAGGACUGGGACAUCCCUGCAUGACCAACAGUGGCUAGAAAACACCAGGAAGCCACUGCAGUCACUCUGAGCAGGAGGUGUGUGCAGCCCAGAAAUCCUCCAGCCAGAGGUCAAAGUCACAGAGCCAUGGGUGCCAGUGGAGAAUGGUAUAUUGUUUGACCCAGCAAAGGCCAACAAAGACAUUUCCUGGAGAGCAUGGGGUGUUCCAGCCCACCCAGGGUCCAGCUUCUGGAGCCCCAUCACACCCCAAGGGCUCUCUAUGACACCCAGACAGGUACUAGCUCUGUGUCCAAUUAAAUGCUGCCAGGAACAAGGGCUCCCUUCCCACCGAGAAGCUGAUCCUGUUUGUUACCUAUGACCACAUUCUGGGUCUGUUCUUUAUCAAACCCACAUCUGCCUCAGCACUCUGCAGUUCACAUGAUGUGCCCAGUCUCUGCCAGGUGACAGCCAGGUGAGAGCAGUUUGUACAGGGCACUCGGCCUUCCUUUUGCUUCACUGACUGCCAUCCCCUGCAGCUACCUUGUUUCUGACAUAACCACUGUCCUGGCUCCCCUUUUUGCUUGUGCUCAACUUUAACAGCAUCUCUCUUAGAAGUAGAAGAUGAGCUCUGAGCAGCCUGAGUAUAGAAAUGACCCCCCCCCAGGUGAGGGUCUCGCCUGCUCUUAGCUUUGCCUGAGAUGCUGUCAUCUGGGGACACUGAUGGGGGUCCCUUUACCUCAAGCUCCCACAGAACUGCUCUCUGCAGCCCUGUCAUCCUGAUAUAGGUUAGGUGGGAGGGGAGAUGAUCAGAUGCAUAGUUUGCCAAAUGUUGAGGAGACAGCGCUGCCUGAGCCAAGUGGCACCACUUAAACACACCAGGUGAGACUCAGAGCAAUAUCUGAGGUCCCAGCUCAGCCCCAGCAGGGUGGGGGUAGGGGGUGAGGCUCAGCCAGAGUACAGUAUGAGGACAAGAGGACCAUGUCUCAGCCGCAGUGCACCGAGUGCCUCAUAUCUAUAGCACACUUCCCCUGGUUUUGAACAAACCCAGCUGAAAAUUUGAAAAGAUUUAAAAUGGCAUUUCCUAAGUGUUUCGUAAGAAGGUGAUAGGUGACAGGUAAAACUAAUAUAUGGUCUCAUAGGGUUGGAAAAUACUGGAAUGACCAAAAGUAAAUGGGUUUCUUUUGCUACAAAGAGCCUUAAGGAUGCUGGUGGGUAUCAUGAAUCUCCAGGCAGUGGGCACAAUGCAGUAUGAGGUUUGGGGAAUGAUCCCUUUCCCAAACCUUCUAGUUGAAAAAUCUCAUCUUUCUGCUGUUCUGGCCCACCUUUGCCCCAAAGGAAGCACACUGUCUGGGUUCAUUCAUUCUUUUAGCAAGCUUGUUCUCAGCCCCUGCCCUCAGGGCUGGUCUUGCUUGAGGGAAGGGUGGUGUUUGUGAAGCAACCCAGGAAAAACCAGACUCACCAUCAAAUGUCAGAGAGGGAGGAGACGUGGAGGGAGCCUCCUUGAGCACUUUGUGGUAGGAGACUGAAGGACACGGCAGGUCACAGGCCUUCUAAGGGACAGCGGCUGAGUGAGGUGUACAGAUCCUGGCUGCCAGGCCUGGGCUGGCUCUCUAUGAUGGCAGUUACAGUGCUGUUCUCAGUCUCUUGUCCACGUGCCGUGUCUGCCCGGCUCAACUCCGCAUCCUCAGCAGCCAGGACGGUGCCAGGACCCAGUGGCUGUCAGUGAGUAAGUGGUGAAUGAAACUAUGAUGGUGUGGUUGGGUUAGACGACUUAGCAUCUCAUCUAGAGUUAAGGUUCAGAGAGACUGCGAAGGGAGAUGGUUAGAUUCAGAGAGAGAAGUGGUCCGUGGGCUGGAACGCUGGGGAGGCACGAGCAGGGAAAAGCACACAGCCAGCAGCCAGCAAAGGGCCUCCCUGGGGGGCGUUGGGAAAGCCUGCCUCUGCAGUGCAAGCCCACUCAUCAGAGACAGCCUCGACCCGAGGCACCUUUCAAAACCUCUCCAGUCAGGACCCUGGGCCUGAACUGAAGUCAAUUGUUUUUCUGGAGCAGCCAAAGUUGCUUCUCUUUUCAGCCAAUUUACACCUUGGCCACAGACACCCAACAAUAAAGAUGAUUACAACCUAGCAUUUGCUGGGGCCCAGCACUGUACUAAGUACUUUAGAUCAUAAUCUGAGUUUAUCCUCAAAACAACCUUGUAAGGUGAGUAUAAUUAUUGUUGCCACUUGACGGAUGUCCAAUUCACAAAGCUAGUGUAGUGGACGGCAGCUGUCCAAGCUUUGAGCUGGACAGUCUAACUUCAGAGUCUUCACUCUUUUCACGGUCAGUGAUGGUAGUGGUAGUGUGUUCAUCGCUUCCUCUUAAAAUUUUUAACAUGGAAAAUUUCCAACGUAUAAAAAGCAGGGAGAAGAGUGUAAUGAAUCACUAUGUACCCAUUUCUCAACGGCAACAACUGUGGACUCAGAACCAAUCUCUCCAUCAAGACCCUCCCACCUCUGCCUCCCAUCAUCAUGGAUUGUUUUAAAAAGCAAAUAUCAUGUAUUACAUAAUUUCAUCCAUAGAUCUCUUAGUGUGCUUCUCUAAAAGAUAAAGCCAAAUCCUCAUUCUCAAUUAUAGCACUUUAUGCCCUCCUGACUGACAAGUACUUUAAGCCAGGGGCACCCUGAUCCACCUCCCCCACUAUAUUUUGGGCUACCAACAGCCUAGCCCACAGGCAGGGAUGCAGCUGGCUCAUGGGCAGCCUGUCCCCAGUGCCCACCUCACAGCCUGGCCGGAGGUCCUCGCUGACCUCCUCCAAGUGUCUUUCUAUGGCUGAAGCUGCUGCCAUCAGUGCGUCUAGAGAUGGGGAACAACUGGAUGUGAUAGUUUCUGCUAUGAAGACGGGUCUUUUCCUCUCUUCUUGCUCUCUCACUCCUUGUUGGUCACCACGAGGCCAGCAGCUCUGCUCCACCACACCCUCACAGCCAGGAGGUUUUCCUCACCAAAAGCCCAAAGCAAUGGAACCAAACACCCUUGGACUGAAACUGUGAACCAAAAUAAAUCUUUCCUCCCUUAAGUUGAUUUACCUGAGGGUUUUUUCCCCCAUAACAAUGGAAAGCUAACACAGGGAGUCUCCUCUGCCUGGGAGGGAAUGACUCCCCACUUUUGCUCAAUCUAAAACCAAGUACAGACAAGAUGAAGCCAAGGCACCUGGUGUGAUUCACUGUGCCUCUCAAAAGCUGGGAGGAUCCUGUCUCACUUUCUGCAUCUGUAGAGAUGGGACUAUAUCACCUAUCUUUCAAUGUGAUUUGAAGGUCCAAGGGGCAAGUUUUCUCUAAGAAGCUGUCUAUAAAAGAACGCAGUACCUACCAUGGCCAGCAGGUGUCGCCGUAAGACAAAGUAUCAUAAACAGCACAAGGUAGGGACUACUCCAAUGAGAUUCUUUCAAUAUCAGAUCCAGUUAGACUUGGAGGAAUUGGAAGAAAGUUCAGCUUGUAGGAUUUGUCCUUAGAAAAGUCGGUGUCUGGCUUUUUAACUGAGAGUUAAAAAGUAAAGUUUUGCAGCUUUCAAAGUAUGCUCACCUGAAGACAUCAUAGCAAGAUAGGCAUCAAUAACCCUGUUUUUUAGAUGAAGAAAUUGAGGCCUCAAAAAGCAGGUGACUUGCUAAAGUUGUGCAUAUACUAAAGGGCAGAGCAGGGACUCCAACUUAGACCUUCCAGUUCUGUAUUCUGGGCACUGUACUGAGACACAUGUGCCCUUUGGGAAAGCAGAAAAGAUACAAGUGUUCCCAAAGGUCUCUGCAAGUGAUGGGCCUCAGAUUCUGCUCUUUAGUGGAGAGGUCAACUAGAUCAAAGGCUCCCAAACUCAGCUACACAACUCCCCCCCCACACACACACAUACGCACCAGCAACAGUGUAUGUGGGCAGAUGGAGAGAACCCCCAGGCUGCAGAAUCAGAGGCCCAGAUUUUACAUCCCCGUAAGCAGCCUUGCGCAGCCUUGGACUGGCACUGGCACCACAGGACCCUCUGGGGAAUUCUAUUCUGUACUUCAUUAGAGAAUUUGCACUUCACCUUUCAAAACACCUAACACAGUGCCUGGCACAUAUCAGUAUUCAAAUAUUCAACAAAAAUUUGCUCAGUGAAUGCCUGAAAACCAUGCAAUUACCUGGCCCAGAGGAAACCUGUGUUAACCUUGCUCUGGCCCUCAACACAAUCCUAUUCUAUGUUCCAUAGUACUUGACAGCUUUUGUGUCUGGUUUACACAAGAAUCUCACUCAGCCCCUUCGUGAUGGGGAUUAUGAUCCCCAUCCUGCAGAUGAGAAGACUCAGGGUCUGAGGUUCGGAGACAUGAUGCAGCAUGCCCAGCUUGCUGGGACAGAGCUGCACUUCUCAAGGCCUAUUCCCCACCUUGUCCGCUGCACUAUUCCGCUUUGCACUGUUUUCACUGUGAGGUCUGAAGGAAAGGGAAGCGUUUUAUCUGGGGGGGCUGUGAGCUUCCAGAGCUGAGGGUCCUUGGCUCAGAUUUGGAGUGGUGAGCUCAGUAGUUUGUCUGGAAGUUGGGAUGGGGGGGGCGGGGAGGAGUCUUGCCUCAUUUGCUAAAGUGGCUCCCUGCCAAGCUCCAGGGUGAGGUAGACAGGUCCCUCUGUGGUGGCCCAAAAUAUUCUUGUCACAGGUACCUCCCUGGAAAGAGCUGACUGGAGGGACCAGAGCACCCCUCCCCAACUCUGCCCAGCCCACAGGGUGGUUCCACUCUCUGGAGAGGACCCUCAGCCACCUUGGCCCCUGCCGGAUGUCUGAGCUGUCCUCCACCCAGCCUCUGCUUAGGGAAGCUGGGUGUGUGCUGCCCCCUAGUGCCUCAGGGUGAGAUGGCAGCACCAUAGAAGGUGGCAACUGUGGUUCACAACCACAUGGGCUCUGCCUUCACCUCAAGUCAUCCUUAUAGGAGAGGUUAGAACCUGAGAUGGUCUCUGCCCCAGCCUGUGCCCACGUGGCCUCAAGAUCUACUGGAAGGGACACAUGGUGUCAUUCUUUGCGGAGGGGGUUGAGAUCCCUGGAAGGUCUCCGUGAGGCAGAGUGGGGCCAGAGCAUGACUUGGGGGGCCCCAGGCUGGGCCACCCUCUGGCCAGGCCCUUCCUGGGUUGCUCAGCCCUCCCCAGUCCCAACAUAACUAAAACGCAUUCCCACGCACACCCAGGAUGUGUCAUCAAGGAACUUGUGUCCCAGAUCCUCCUGGUUCCCGCACAGUGGGCCCAGUCUGCCCUCUCCCAGCCUCAAAGGAAAUGGGGAGCCCCCAGCCAUGGCAGCAGAGGGUGCAGGGUGGGGCCC
rnacentral:lncRNA from 1 species